rnacentral:rRNA from 1 species
UACGGAGGGGGCUAGCGUUGUUCGAAAUCACUGGGCUUAAAGCGUGUGUAGGCGGAUGCCUAAGUACCUUGUGAAAUCCCCCGGCUUAACCUGGGAACUGCGUCUGAUACUGGACGGCUCGAGUUUGGGAGAGGGAUGUGGAAUUCCAGGUGUAGCGGUGAAAUGCGUAGAUAUCUGGAGGAACACCGGUGGCGAAGGCGGCAUCCUGGACCAACACUGACGCUGAGGCGCGAAAGCUAGGGGAGCAAACGGG